rnacentral:tRNA from 1 species
GGCUUCGUAGCUCAGUUGGUAGAGCGCUUGUCGCAUCCAGGCACGUCGUGUCUGUGGCUGGUUCGAAUCCAGCCGAAGCCC